GCACAAGCGGUGGAUGAUGUGGAUUAAUUCGAUGCAACGCGAAAACCUUACCUACCCUUGACAUGUCCGGAAUCCCGAAGAGAUUUGGGAGUGCUCGCAAGAGAACCGGAACACAGGUGCUGCAUGGCUGUCGUCAGCUCGUGUCGUGAGAUGUUGGGUUAAGUCCCGCAACGAGCGCAACCCUUGUCAUUAGUUGCCAUCAUUUGGUUGGGCACUCUAAUGAGACUGCCGGUGACAAACCGGAGGGAAGGUGGGGAUGACGUCAAGUCCUCAUGGCCCUUAUGGGUAGGGCUUCACACGUCAUACAAUGGUCGGUACAGAGGGUUGCCAACCCGCGAGGGGGAGCUAAUCCCACAAAGCCGAUCGUAGUCCGGAUCGCAGUCUGCAACUCGACUGCGUGAAGUCGGAAUCGCUAGUAAUCGUGGAUCAGCAUGUCACGGUGAAUACGUUCCCGGGUCUU
rnacentral:rRNA from 1 species